rnacentral:rRNA from 1 species
AGGGCACCACCAGGAGUGGAGCCUGCGGCUUAAUUUGACUCAACACGGGAAAACUUACCCGGCCCGGACACUGGAAGGAUUGACAGAUUGAGAGCUCUUUCUUGAUUCAGUGGGUGGUGGUGCAUGGCCGUUCUUAGUUGGUGGAGCGAUUUGUCUGGUUAAUUCCGAUAACGAACGAGACUCUAGCCUACUAAAUAGACCAGAGGCUUCUUAAAACACGUCUCUGGCUGCUUCUUAGAGGGACAGGCGGCGAUUCAGCCGCACGAAACAGAGCAAUAACAGGUCUGUGAUGCCCUUAGAUGUCCGGGGCCGCACGCGCGCUACACUGAAGUGAUCAGCGUGCUUUUUGUACCCUGCUCUGCCAAGAGUGGGUAACCCAAUGAACCUUCUUCGUGAUUGGGAUAGGGGAUUGUAAUUAUUCCCCUUGAACGAGGAAUUCCCAGUAAGCGCGAGUCAUAAGCUCGCGUUGAUUACGUCCCUGCCCUUUGUACACACCGCCCGUCGCCACUACCGAUUGAA